rnacentral:sRNA from 1 species
GAUGUCCCCAUGACAACCGACGUUGGAGUUUGGAGGUGCUUGCCUUAGAGCAAGGGAAACAGCUCUCAUUCAAAGGAACUAGAAGCCUCUCCCUCAGUGGUAGGGAGAGAGCCAGGAGCGGUUUUCUGGGAACUGUGGGAUGUGCCCUUGGGGGCCCGAGAAAACAGAAGGAAAAUGCUCCAGACCAGUAACUACAGCCUGGUGCUCUCUCUGCAGUUCCUGCUGCUGUCCUAUGACCUCUUUGUCAAUUCCUUCUCAGAACUGCUCCAAAAGACUCCUGUCAUCCAGCUUGUGCUCUUCAUCAUCCAGGAUAUUGCAGUCCUCUUCAACAUCAUCAUCAUUUUCCUCAUGUUCUUCAACACCUUCGUCUUCCAGGCUGGCCUGGUCAACCUCCUAUUCCAUAAGUUCAAAGGGACCAUCAUCCUGACAGCUGUGUACUUUGCCCUCAGCAUCUCCCUUCAUGUCUGGGUCAUGAAAGAAGUAGAGGUCCCAGGAAAGAAGCAAAGCAACACCAGAGUCUCCGGGUGCUUCCUGAAGAGGAUUCUGUGCCCUGGUUCCUGGAGCCAAAAUAGGUCCUGGCUUUGUAC